rnacentral:rRNA from 1 species
GCACAAGCGGUGGAGCAUGUGGUUUAAUUCGAUGAUACGCGAGGAACCUUACCUGGGCUCAAAUGUAUGUUGACGUAUUCUGAAAGGGAUACUUCUUCGGACAAUAUACAAGGUGCUGCAUGGUUGUCGUCAGCUCGUGCCGUGAGGUGUCGGGUUAAGUCCCAUAACGAGCGCAACCCCUAUCAUUAGUUGCCAUCAGGUCAAGCUGGGGACUCUAAUGAAACUGCCUACGCAAGUAGUGAGGAAGGUGGGGAUGACGUCAAAUCAGCACGGCCCUUACGUCCAGGGCUACACACGUGCUACAAUGGCCGGUACAAAGGGCAGCUACCUGGUGACAGGAUGCAAAUCUCCAAAGUCGGUCUCAGUUCGGAUCGGAGUCUGCAACCCGACUCCGUGAAGUUGGAUUCGCUAGUAAUCGCGCAUCAGCCAUGGCGCGGUGAAUACGUUCCCGGGCCUU